UGAGUAACCUGCCCUUAACUCUGGGAUAAGCCUGGGAAAACUGGGUCUAAUACCGGAUAUGACUCCUCAUCGCAUGGGUGGGGGGGUGGAAAGCUUUAUUGUGGUUUUGGAUGGACUCGCGGCCUAUCAGCUUGUUGGUGAGGUAACGGCCCACCAAGGCGACGACGGGUAGCUGGUCUGAGAGGACGACCAGCCACACUGGGACUGAGACACGGCCCAGACCUCCGUACGGGAGGCAG
rnacentral:rRNA from 1 species